AAACCAACAGGGAUUGCCUUAGUAACGGCGAGUGAAGCGGCAAAAGCUCAAAUUUGAAAUCUAGUACCUUCGGUGCUCGAGUUGUAAUUUGAAGAUGGUAACUUUGGAGUUGGCCCUUGUCUAUGUUCCUUGGAACAGGACGUCACAGAGGGUGAGAAUCCCGUCUGACGAGGUGAUCCAACUCUAUGUAAAGUGCUAUCGAAGAGUCGAGUUGUUUGGGAAUGCAGCUCUAAGUGGGUGGUAAAUUCCAUCUAAAGCUAAAUAUUGGCGAGAGACCGAUAGCGAACAAGUACAGUGAUGGAAAGAUGAAAAGAACUUUGAAAAGAGAGUGAAAAAGUACGUGAAAUUGUUGAAAGGGAAGGGUAUUAGAUCAGACUUGGCGUUUUAUGAUUAUCUUCUCUUCUUGAGUUGUGCACUCGUAUUGCGCUGGGCCAGCAUCGAUUCGGAUGGCAGGAUAAUGGCAAUUGAAUGUGGCAUCCACUUCGGUGUAUGUGUUAUAGCUUUUGUUGAUGCUGCCUAUCUGGAUCGAGGACUGCGUCUUUUGACUAGGAUGUUGGCGUAAUGAUCUAAUAUCGC
rnacentral:rRNA from 1 species